CCGAGUUUACAACUCCCAAACCCUGUGAACAUACCUAUAUGUUGCCUCGGCGGAUCAGCCCGCGCCCCGUAAAACGGGACGGCCCGCCGCAGGAUCCACAAACUCUGUUUUUAUUGUAACUUCUGAGUAACAAGAAACAAAUAAAUCA
rnacentral:misc_RNA from 1 species